rnacentral:rRNA from 1 species
GACGAACGCUGGCGGCGUGCUUAACACGUGCAAGUCGUACGGUAAGGCCCUUUCGGGGGUCCACGAGUGGCGAACGGGUGAGUAACACGUGAGUAACCUGCCCACAACUUUGGGAUAACGCUAGGAAACUGGUGCUAAUACUGGAUAUGUGCUCCUGCUGCAUGGUGGGGGUUGGAAAGCUCCGGCGGUUGUGGAUGGACUCGCGGCCUAUCAGCUUGUUGGUGGGGUAGUGGCCUACCAAGGCGGCGACGGGUAGCCGGCCUGAGAGGGUGACCGGCCACAUUGGGACUGAGAUACGGCCCAGACUCCUACGGGAGGCAGCAGUGGGGAAUAUUGCACAAUGGGCGCAAGCCUGAUGCAGCAACGCCGCGUGCGGGAUGACGGCCUUCGGGUUGUAAACCGCUUUCAGCAGGGACGAAGCUUUUUGUGACGGUACCUGCAGAAGAAGCACCGGCUAACUACGUG